rnacentral:lncRNA from 1 species
AAGACGGGAGAGAAGGAAGAGGCGGAACCAGCGCCAUUAGUCAGAAAAGAAAAAGAGAAAAGAAGCCAAGUGAAAAAUAAAUCAGAGAAAAUGAAGAAGAAGAGGGAAGCGAAAGAAAAUUUUCGUUGAAGAAGACGAAGAAGAAAUAGAAGAGACAAAACGAAUAAGAAGCUUAGAGAAGAAGAAAGGCCGUCAUAUCGAACCGUCGCGUCGAAGCGAGUUUUGAGGCAGGCUAUAAUGAUGAAUAGACGGCGGUAAUUAAGAUGACCUAGUUAAUGCCGCAGAUGAGACAAAAUGAGGAUUGAAAUCAGGCCGUAAGAAAGAAAAUAAACGGCUUAGAUUGAACGGUACAGAGGGUCACGCCUUGGAUUACGUCAGGUACUGGUACAGAGAUUUUGAAUGUGAUUGGACCGAAAACGACGCCUCGAAUCGCACUGGUUAUUGAAACAAUUACAGGAUUUCGGCAAGCAGAAAAAGGAACGGCUGAGAUGAAACCAUAUCGGGAAGCAAAAAGUAAUCGCGACUCAGGCCACGCCAGCUACCGAAGUGUUACUUCGAAAGCUGCCGAGGGGGCAAUUGUUGAGCCAAUUAGGCGCGGGCGAGUGGGAUGCUGGUAUUCCCUUCAAAAGCAUCUAUUCGGUCAUGCACCGGGAGCACCAAAAAAGUGUAAAGGAAACCAAAUCGCGCCAAUUGAAGGAAGUUACGGUAACCGCAAGCAGUUACAUGCGGUUCCGAUCGGCUGGAGGUGGUCCGGAAUAUGAGGAGAUAAUGGUCGAUCGUGUAAGAGCAAUAAUUGAUCAGGGGGGCGAUCUAUAAAUAGGGUAAUAACACCCUAAAAAGAGGUCUUUUCCCUGCGAACAAAAGACCACCCUUAUUUUUUUGCAUCUUUCUUCCCUACAUUUACCGCUUUUUCUAGGAGUAGUUCCUGUAAUUUA